rnacentral:lncRNA from 1 species
GAGACAACAGCUAAGAAAUAUAUUUAAAUAUACCCUUUCCAGACAAGAAAUAAAUAAAUAAAACCCUUUCGAGUUAACAACCAGAACAUCCAUUACUUUAUAUAUAAACCUGCAGAUAUAUAACAGAUAUAUAAAAUAAAAGAAAAUACAGGUACGUAUUCAAGCUAUUGCACUGGAACUGCGAACCCUGAUUGAGAGAGAAGUUGUGACCUAUGUAGCUUAAGCGGUAAGUACGUCGGGAUCAUUACAAGAUAGUUAGUUGCAGAGUUAACAGUGAGUAGUUAAUCGUCAGUAGUUUAGAAGACAGCAGUCAGCCCGUCAGAUAAGAAGACGCUGUUGCAAGUACUCCUUAAGUCUUGGCAUUUCCUGAAAUUGUUCUGAUAUUAGGGGAGGUUCUCAAGGUUAAGAUUUUCUUAUAAAUGGAUAAGUUUAAUAUAGAAUAUAACAAGAAUAAAACUUGAAGUGUGGUGGUGAAGUACUGUUUAAAGUUUAGUAGUGUGUGAAUUUUUUUGAAUUAAAUGAGAAAAUGGAUCUAUUCCAAAGACUCUACGAAUUCUUCUCGAAUCGACACCAUCCAGAAGAAACGGUGGAAAAAAGACUUAACAUAAUGGAACAAAGAGACGUCAAUAAUGCCGAAGGUUUAGAUUUUGAAGAUGUGGAAGAUGAAAGCGACGAAGGAUUCGAAGAUAAUCGGAUUCGCACAUAUCCAAUACGGAAAAUUACAUUGGAGUUUCUGAAUACUGACAAUCAUUGGAAUCCGGAGUUUUUUGUAUCCAUAAACACUAUGUGUUAAUGAUGAUGCAGUAUGCAAACAAUAUGAUUCGAGGUGUGAAAUUGUGUGGGGAAUGUUACUAUCGUCACCAGUUGCAGGUUCCGUAUGGGUCACAUAAACAUGUAACCUCACAUUUCACCACGAGACUACCACCAGAAAAUGUAAAUUCGCAUAAUGCUGGUGGUAGAUGUAUGGUUUGUAACCAUAACUUAUAUAUUUUAAUGCAUCCUAAUUGUUGCUAUAUUUGCAAUGGGAAGAAUUUUUCAACGGAAAUAUAGUAACAUAAAGGAUGCAUUAUUUUAUUUUUAGUGUAAUUUAGUGUUAAUAAAUUAGUAUUUUAUUUUAUAUUUAUAUACUAGUAUGGUAUUUAUACGUAUGGUUUUGCAAUGUCACAGUAUCUUCCAACAAGUGAUUUUACAUGGCUCCCCGAAAGAGAAAUAAAAAGUCUAGAUAUUUUGUCUAUUUCUUAUACCUCUAGUAAAGAACAUAUUCUAGACGCUGAUUUAGAAUAUCCUAAAAGUCUCCACGACACUCUACAACAAAACAAACACAAAAUCUACAAAAGUGAUACCAAAUUUAAACAAUAAAGCAAAAUAUUUUAUUCACUACCAAUUACUAAAACAACGCUUUUCAAAAUGGACUCAAGUUGACUAAAAUUCGUAGAGUUAGUGUAUCGGUAUUUCUUCAAUCGUCCUAGACCUCUAGAAGUGGUUCUAAAUAGGUUUGAUGUCAUGGAGAGACGGGAUAACCACGUUGAUUUAGAUAACUCGGACAUGGCUGAAACCGAUGAAUCGGGAAUAGAGGAGGACUGUACGGAGAUGGGUAUCUGCCCACGAGAACUUGGAAGAAAGAGUUCUAUGUGUUCACAAACAUUACGUGAGUGUUGAGAUGAUUAUUCAGGGACAAAAUGGUGUGACUACAACUCAACAAAAACAAUUAUGUUAGAGUGUUAUUUUGUCGCUUUGUCGCCACUGAUCGAAAAUUUUAGUUCUGAUGAGGAAGAACCAUCACAAAAUCCAAUUUCAUAUCCAAACCAUUUUUCAUCAUUACCAAAAAAAAACAAAAAUUCAAAAACAAAUUGACAGAUGAUUAUUUAGGGACAAAAUGGUGUGACUGCAACUCAACAAAAACAAUUAUGUGGUGAGUGCUAUUUUGUCCAUGAGUCACAUGUGGAUGGUGGGUCACAUCGUCACAUAUCUUCGCAUUGUACCACAGAAUUAGAUACUGAAAAUAUGGGUUCGUUUUUAGAACACAGCAAAUGUUUUGUGUGUAACACGAACCUAUACAUUUUAAUGCAUCCAUCUUGUUGUCUUCAGUGCAAUGGAAAAAACACUUUCAUUAAUAUAAACUAAUUUUAAUAUUUAUUAAACUGUACCUUAAUAUCUUAUCUUUCCAUAUAUUUUAAGUUUUAAUUUUAUUUAGUGUAGUUAAUUUUAUUAGUGCUGUGAAAAUGAAUUUCUUUCAAAUAGUAUAUCGGUAUUUCUUCAAUCGUCCUAGAUCAAUAGAACAGGUUCUAAAUAGAGAAAAUUAGUAUUGAUAAAAUAAAUAGACUUUGUUUGAAUUUGUGCCCCUUUCGUAUCUUGCAUUAGUAAUUAACCCUCAUCUCUUUAUAGAUAAAUGGUGCAACGAUUUCUAAACCCCUCAUUAUUAAUAAACCCAUGCAAAUGUAUUUUGCAUCAUUAUUGUGUAAGAGAUUGUUCGAGUUAUGGGGAAACCUGAAAUACAAAUUUUAAAGCGUAAAGUUAUGGAAAAUAUUAAUAUAAUACAACAAGUAAUUGUAACGAAGAACGGUGUGCAAAUAAUGGAUUACGACCAAAAAUACGAUGACAUUUCACCAGUGGAUUCACCAAGUCAAGUUGAAUCAAACAUACAAUAUGAUGAAAAAGUUUUAAAUGAGUUAAUAAAUUCUUUAAAUCAAAUAGAAAGUGAAAGUGUAAACCAAGUGCAACCGGAUUUACAACAAUGUCAAGAUUUGGAUAUGUUAGAAAUGCCUACGGAAAGUGCUGAGCAAGAAAUUCAACCGGAUUUACGGCAUUCUCAAGAUUUGUCACAAAGUGUUAUAUUAUAAAAUAAUAAACAUAAUGUGAAACAACUUUUUAUAAAACGUGACCUUGAAAUUACGAACAAAAAUACGAUGAUAUUUCACCAGUGGAUUCACCAAGUCAAGUUGAAUCAAACAUACAAUAUGAUAAAAAAAUUUUAAAUGAGUUAAUAAAUUCUUUAAAUCAAAUAGAAAGUGAAAGUGUAAACCAAGUGCAACCGGAUUUACAACAAUGUCAAGAUUUGGAUAUGUUAGAAAUGCAUACGGAAAGUGCUGAGCAAGAAAUUUAACCGGAUUUACGGCAUUCUCAAGAUUUGUCACAAAGUGUUAUAUUAUAAAAUAAUAAACAGAUAAUGUGAAACAACUUUUUAUAAAACGUGACCUUGAAAUUACGAACAAAAAUACGAUGAUAUUUCACCAGUGGAUUCACCAAGUCAAGUUGAAUGAAACAUACAAUAUGAUGAAAAAUUUUUAAAUGAGUUAAUAAAUUCUUUAAAUCAAAUAGAAAGUGAAAGUGUAAACCAAGUGCAACCGGAUUUACAACACUGUCAAGAUUUGGAUAUGUUAGAAAUGCAUACGGAAAGUGCUGAGCAAGAAAUUCAACCGGAUUUACGGCAUUCUCAAGAUUUGUCGCAAAGUGUUAUAUUAUAAAAUAAUAAACACAUAAUGUGAAACAACUUUUUAUAAAACGUGACCUUGAAAUUACGAACAAAAAUACGAUGAUAUUUCACCAGUGGAUUCACCAAGUCAAGUUGAAUCAAACAUACAACAUGAUGAAAAAUUUUUAAAUGAGUUAAUAAAUUCUUUAAAUCAAAUAGAAAGUGAAAGUGUAAACCAAGUGCAACCGGAUUUACAACAAUGUCAAGAUUU